UUCCUGACCCUUUCUCCUGGUCACUCUGCUAAAUUCAAGUCCCGCAGGAAGACAACAAAGAGUUGGGAGGAGGAGACCAAAGAUGGUUAAACCAGGGGAACAGGAUCUGCGGGUGGUGCAAGAAGAGGGCUGAGGGCCACUCACCGCUCCGCCCCUGCAGUCCACUGCCCGGUAUUCCUGCCUCUCAGCUCGGCGGACGGUCCGGCUUCCACCACCGGGGCUCUUCAGGCAGGCGGCCCGAGGUGCUUCAUCUUUAACCAAAGGCCUGGUUUCUAGAGUGGAAAAACCUGCUUGGCCCUGGGUUGCUCUCACCAUGGGCUCACCACUGAGACCCAAGUUCCCUCAGUCUCCUCACUUGGAUAUCAGGGGACCGGAUACAAAGAGCUCUGUGAUGCCUUUUGACUUCCCUGUACAGUCAAGGACAGCUGCAAGGUGGAGAUCUUCCAAAGGUCACCAAGAGCACCAAGCCUUCUAGCCCCAGUGCCAGGGGUUGACCUCAAAAGGAACUCCAGUGAGGUUUCUGGAAAACAUUCCAGUUCUUUCACCCAGCUCACACCAUAGCCCUCUGAAAAGGUUACACAGUGUCUCCUCGAAGUCCCGUCAGUGGAAAUUCGAGUGGAUUGUUAUUGCUUUCUUCUUCCAAGGCCCAUUCCCUCCUCCCCUAAUAAUGGAACCCUAGUUUUCCUUUAAGGAAUUGUCCUUUCUCUGUUGCCAGUCCUUGAGGGUUGAGCUCCAGGGACAGGCUCAUGAAAAGCUGGGCAAAAAGCCUAUUUUCCACCUCCGUGGUUGACUGAUGAUGGGAUAAAGGACAAAGGCAGACUCAAAUCAAGACGUUGGCCAGAGAUGCUGGAGGCCUUUGGCUUCUUUAUGGAAUGAAGUCUCACAGAAGAAAUCAGAGCUGGGAGCUGAAGAGGAGACAAUUGUUGAGAACAACAUUUGAGCCCCUAGAUCCAGCCAUGCCUGAAAGCCUAUACGUGGACUUUCAAUUACCUGAGCAAAUAAAUCCAUUCCCACUUUUUUGUUGUUGAAGGGA
rnacentral:lncRNA from 1 species